GGGCGUGUAGCUCAGUGGUAGAGCGCCCGCUUUGCAUUUGCUUUCUGCUCAUGUGCGGGAGGUCUUGGGUUCGAUCCCCAACCCGUCCA